GAGUAAAUUGUGGUGGAAGCAGAGAUGCUAAUAAGGUUUAAGAGCCAUCUACCUGAGCACAAAUCAUGAAGACUUUGAAAGCUCAGGGCUGGAAGAUGGAAUUAAUACAAAUAGAUGCCACUGGUCUGAGUGGACGUGCUGAGUUGAACGGCUUGUUUCAUACUGUAUGAUUCUGACUCUGACUGUAUGACUCUCAUUUCCUGGAAUUGCAAUUUCUUGCUGCAAGCCCUUGCACUUAUCUUGUGAAACCUGCUGCUACGAUAUCUGUGGAAGUAUUACAGGAUAAGUGUGUCCUGAAGCCAGGCACCUCAGCUAUAUCUCAACAAGAACCGGCAAACAAAAGAUCAGACCUUUCCAGUCCCUCAAGAUCCAGGCUGGUCACGACUACAGCAUCUCAGAGGUCUCCAGGCAAACCCUGCACCAAAUUCACUUGGAGGUGGGCUGCCGUCCGAGGCUGACGAGAACCACCUGCCCAAAACAACUGGUUUUGAGGCGCCAGUGGUCCGCCUUUGCCCCUUCGCUUGUCAGUAGAAACAGUUCUGCCGGGCCUAGUAACUAAGCCUCACGAGAAGGCCAGGAGCUGGACUUGGUUGUCAGAGGCUGUUAGAGUCGCACGCCAUUUGGAGAGCUUUAUAGGUAGUGGGAGCUUAUCCCCACUACCACCAUGGCUAUGACAACCUGAGGAACCAAUGUGAGGACAUCAGUGAUAAUGAACUUGGUUUGGUUGGAGAAUGGUGAAUUUGCAAGAUUGUUUACUUCCCGCACACCUGUAGGAGGACCGCACUUGAACAUGGUUGGAUUCAAACCCUUGGAAAAACCUCCGACAAACAGUAUAAAAAUAAUCGGAGCUGGAACAGCAGCAUGUAUUGCCGAUCUUGUCACAUUCCCUCUUGAUACGACCAAAGUGAGAUUGCAGAUUCAAGGAGAAUCCAAAUCUGUGCACAGUGUGACUCCUGUGAAGUAUAGGGGGGUCUUUGGUACCAUAGCUACAAUUGUGAGGACUGAAGGGGUGAGAAGUCUCUACAAUGGCUUAGUGGCUGGUCUUCAUCGUCAGAUGAGUUUCUCUUCUGUUCGCAUUGGGCUUUAUGAUUCUGUUAAACUCUUCUACUCCAAUGGAUCUGACACUAUCUCCAUUGGAUGCCGCCUGCUUGCUGGAUGUACGACAGGAGCCAUGGCAGUCACCUUGGCACAGCCUACCGAUGUGGUGAAAGUAAGGUUUCAAGCGCAAGCAAACCUAACUGGUGUGACUAAACGCUACAGCGGGACAUUGAAUGCUUACAGAACAAUUGCCAAAGAAGAAGGAGUUAAAGGAUUAUGGAAAGGUGCUUUGCCAAAUAUUGCUCGUAAUUCCAUUGUGAAUUGUGCAGAACUGGUCACUUAUGACUUGUUCAAGGAUGCAAUCUUAAGAUAUAAUCUCAUGACUGAUAACCUUCCUUGCCACUUUUCUGCUGGUUUUGCUGCUGGAUUCUGCACGACCAUUGUUGCUUCACCUGUUGAUGUUGUGAAGACACGAUACAUGAACUCUACUCCUGGCCAGUACAGCAGCGCUAUUAAUUGUUCCUUCACCAUGCUGCGAAAGGAGGGCUUGACAGCCUUUUAUAAAGGGUUCAUGCCCUCCUUCCUGAGGCUGGGCUCAUGGAAUGUGGUGAUGUUCGUCUCCUAUGAACAGCUGAAACGUGCAAUGAUGUUGGCCAAGCAGUCCUGGGAAUCUCUUUGAUACUUUCUACACAUGAUGACAGAUAGUAUACAUACUGAAUUCCUUUAAAUAGUGUAUGAAUUUUGUGGAUAUGGAUCUUUUGAAGGAUUUGUGAUAUGAUGCUGUUGCAGGUCAAUAGUAAUGUACCAUAAUCAUGUAACUUAUAAAUUCUUUGAACCAAGAGCUUGUGAUUUUUUAAAAUAUACUGUAUAUGGUGAAUAAAGAUGAUUUCUAGUAUCUAUUAUGGAAUGGUGAAGCAAAAUUAAUGAUUAAUCUCAGAUGUACAGCAUAGUUCUAGGGCCUCUUUGACCCAUGUCUAUGCCCUGCUCAUUCAACAACCUGGCCAGAUGCUCUUAAAUGUUGUGACUAUUCUUACCUCUACCAUCUCCUCUGGCAGCUUUUUUCCAGGUAAAACUACCUUGUCUUUGUCGAGUGGGUGAAUUACUCAUCGGAUCCCUUUAAACCUCCUUCCUCUUGCCUUAAACAUAUUCCCCUCUAGUUUUAUUAGACACUCCUACCAUGGGAAACAGACAAUGGCUAUCUACUGUCUCUCAUAAUUUUAAUAUAGCUUUAUCAUAUCACCUGUCAAACUCCAUUGCUCCAAGUAAAGUAGACCUUGCCUAUCCAAUCUUUUGAUGAUAACUAAAGUCCUUCAAUUAGGCAACAUCCUUGAGAAUCUUUUCUGCAUCUUGUUUAUUUCAAUCACAACCUUCCAAUAUUCCAGGUGCAGCCUAUCCAAUAGUUGUACACACUGCCUUGAUUGAUGAAAGCAAGAAUGCCAUAUAGAAACAAAGUCUGCAGAUGCUGGAAAUCCAAAGCAACACAAUACUGGAGGAACUCAGCAGAUGGUUGAAGAAGUUUGGCAUGAAUCCCUAAAUCGUAGGACUUCCUACAGGGAACAAUCGACAGCAUCCUGACUGGCUGCAUCAUCGCCUGGUAUGGGAACUGUACUUCCCUCAAUCGCAGGACUCUGCAGAGAGUAGUGUUGCCAGCCCAGUGCACCUGUAGAUGUGAACUUCCAGUUAUUCAGGACAUUUACAGAGACAGGUGCGUAAAAAGGGCCCGAACGAUUAUUGGGGAUCCAAGUCACCCCAACCACAAACUGUUACAGCUGCUACUAUCUGGGAAACGGUACCUCAGCAUAAAAGCCAGGACCAACAGGCUCUGGGACAGCUUCUUCAGCCAGGCCAUGAGACUGAUUAAUUCACGCUGAUACAACUGUAUUUCUAAGCUAUAGCGACUGUCCGGUUGCACAUACUAUUUAAUAUAAAUUACUAUAAAUUGCACAUUGCACAUUUAGACGAAGAUGUAAUGUAAAGAUUUUUACUCCUCAUGUACGUGAAGGAUGUAAUAAACAAAGUCAAUUCAUUCAAUUCAAUACAUGGUAC